rnacentral:rRNA from 1 species
GACGAACGCUGGCGGCGUGCCUAAUACAUGCAAGUAGAACGCUGAAGCGAGGAGCUUGCUCUUCUUGGAUGAGUUGCUAACGGGUGAGUAACUCGUAUGUAACCUGCCUGUUAGCGGUGGAUAACUAUUGGAAACGAUAGCUAAUACCGCAUAAAAUGUUUUAUCGCAUUAUAAUCCAUUUAAUGUUUCAAUUUCAUCACUACCUGAUGGACCUUCGUUGUAUUAGCUAGUUUGUUGGGUAACGGCUCACCAAGGCGACGAUACAUAGCCGACCUGAGAGGGUGAUCGGCCAAACUGGGAAGGAGACACGGCCCAGAGUCCUACGGGAGGCAGCAGUAGGGAAACGGGGGAAAUGGACGGAAGUCUGACCGAGCAAAGACGAGUGAGUGAAGAAGGUAUUCGGAUCGUAAAGCUCGGUUGUAAGAGAAGAAAGAGAGUGAGAGUGGAAAGUUCACAGUGUGACGGUAACUGACAAGAAAGGGACGGCUAACUACGUG